rnacentral:rRNA from 1 species
UACGAGGGGGGGCUAGCGUUGUUCGGAAUUACUGGGCGUAAAGCGCACGUAGGCGGCUUUUUAAGUCAGGGGUGAAAUCCUGGAGCUCAACUCCAGAACUGCCUUUGAUACUGAGAGCUUGAGUCCGGGAGAGGUGAGUGGAACUGCGAGUGUAGAGGUGAAAUUCGUAGAUAUUCGCAAGAACACCAGUGGCGAAGGCGGCUCACUGGCCCGGUACUGACGCUGAGGUGCGAAAGCGUGGGGAGCAAACAGG